rnacentral:pre_miRNA from 1 species
AAUUUCAGCUGAAAAAGUCAUGAACAUAUCAGUUGUAGAGCUCAUCAAGACAUACAACUUUUAUUUUGGUUAUUUCUUCAUCCGAUAAAGUAAUAGUAACAUUGUUCACAAAGUUUACUUCUCUCUCUUAUAGUUGAACCAAAUGAGAUAGAUGUAAAUUUUGUGAACAAUGUUACUAUCACUUUAUCGGAUGAAGAAACAACCAAAAUAAAAGUUAUAGAUCUUGAUGAGUUAUACAACUUUGUUGUUGAUGAAUUUUUCAGUUAAAAUC